AGAACUAUUUCUCCUAAAAUCUGCCACGGCUGCCUUGUAAACAAAAACCAAGGACAUAACACUUACAUGAAUUGUUUUUAUACAGACCUCCCCUGUUCCAGCCCAUCUAAUGACCUUUUUGACAAGUACCUGGAACUCUGUGCCCCUAAGUGGAUUUCACUCUGUACUGAAUAACUGUUCAGCCACGUCAUAUCCUUUGUGGAAUGAGAAAGAAGUAAAUGGUAGAGUUCCCGUCAUGGCGCAGUGGUUAACGAAUUCGACAAGGAACCAUGAGGCUGCGGGUUUGAUCCCUGGCCUUGCUCAGUGGGUUAAGGAUCUGGCGUUGCCAUGAACUGUGGUGUAGGUUGCAGACGCGGCUCGGAUCCUGCGUUGCUGUGGCUCUGGUGUAGGCCAGCAGCUACAGCUCCAAUUCGACCCCUAGCCUGGGAAUCUCCAUAUGCCAUGGGAGUGGCCCAAGAAAUGGCAAAAAGACAAAAAAAAAAAAAGAAAAAGAAAAAAGAAAAAAAAGAAAAGUAAAUGGCUUUAACUGUGCAAAUGGAAGAGAGAAGAAGGAAAGAAAAUUAAAAACUAAUAAUGGUGAAACUGACAUUUACUAAGUGUCAUGUAUUAUCCACUGACUAGUAACUGGCUCAUACUCCUCUCAACUCUGAAUAAGCUAUUAUUAUCCCCAUCUUACAUAGAAGAAAAACAAAGCAAAGAGCAGUCGUAUAACUCCUAAAAUUACAGAGCUGGUAAAUGCAGUCACUGGGACUUCACCUAGAGAGUCUGGCAUCAGGGCCUUUGCUAUUUUAUCCUGUGCUCUAUUGCCUCCUAAAUGGUCUAAAAAUUAGGUAUAGCAUUGUUUAACUUUAGAGGAUGGCUAUUUUUACACAAACUUCAUUUUAUCUAGGUUUCUAUUUCCUGAACACACAUUAACAGAAGUUAAGUGGUUUGAAAUGGUGGGAGGUCUGUGAUUUAAAUUUUGCCGUGGAUGAGAGAUAGAUGGGUUGAGAGUUUGUGGUUAGCAGAUGCAAACUAUUAUACAGAGUGUGGAUAAACAACAAGUCCAACUGUAUAGCACAGGGAACUGUAUUCAGUAUGCCAUGAUAAACCAUGAUGGAAAAGAACAUGAAGAGAAAAGGAUGUGUAUAUAGACAUAUACAUCCGGAUGUAUAUGUAUAUAUAUGUAUGUAUAUGCAUACCUGAAUCACUUUGCUUCACAAGUGAAUCACUUUUCACUUUAUGCAGAAAUUAACACAAAGUUAUAAAUCAACUAUACUUCCAUAAAAUUAUAUAUACUAUAUAUAUUUAUAUAUAUGCAAAUAAUACACAUACAAAAAUUUUGUCGUGGAGUUCUUGUUGUGGCUCAGAGG
rnacentral:lncRNA from 9 species